rnacentral:lncRNA from 1 species
AUCUUUUUUUCCAAGCCUUUUUGGACUUUUCCCCCUUUGAGAGCUCCAAUCCUGGUUAAUGUAAGCAGAAAGCCUCCCAGGGUGGUUCAUUCGCUGCUCUUUGUGGUGCUAUAGGAAGUGAAAAUCUCCAGCCCGGAUUACAAAGACUGCAACUCCGCAGAAGCCAUGGACGACUUCAUGAAGAGGAUCAACUGCUACGAAGCCAGCUACCAGCCUCUUGACCCUGAUAAAUGUGACAGGGACCUGUCAUUCAUCAAAGUGAUUGACGUUGGCCGGAGGUUCUUGGUGAACAGAGUGCAGGACCACAUCCAGAGCCGAAUCGUGUAUUACCUGAUGAACAUCCACGUGCAGCCCCGGACCAUCUACCUGUGUCGGCACGGCGAGAAUGAGUACAACGUGCAGGGCAAGAUUGGGGGCGACUCAGGCCUGUCCAGCAGAGGCAAGAAGUUCGCCAAUGCCCUGAGCAAGUUCGUUGA